GCCCUGAGCUAACAUCUCUGCCAGUCUUCCUCUAUUUUGUGUGUGGGAAGCCGCCACAGCACAGCUUCCUGAGUGGUUUGUAGGUCUGGGCCUGGGAUCUGCACCUGCGAACGCUUGCCCUCUGAAGCCGAGUGCAUGAACUUAACCACUACACCACUGGGCCGGCCCCCUCCGUCAUUUUUAAGAUUCAAAAGGGGUCUUGAUAUUAACCAAUUUAAGAGCCACUGAUCUAAAGGAAUGAGUUAGCAACUCAAGUGUAGAGUGAGAAUUUGUAGCAGUUACAUUCCCUGGGAUCCAGGAUCUGCUCCUAGUUCUCAUUUUGAAGCAGUGUCAGGACGUUUAGAUAGUCUCCUGAAUGGUUUGGGGCUUUCCAUUCUGUGUGUGAUUACAGAGGUUGAAGACAGAAAGCCUGUACAGUAAUUUAGUCAAUAGAGUUCAUUUUUAAUCUCCAAUCUCUUGUGUCCCAAAGUCAUGAAAUCCUCUAGGACCACUUAAGAGUUUCAGACUACAGCUACUGAAGAUGGAGCAUUUUACGAGGGCUUCGUGACAUUUAUUCUUGGAGAUGCAGCUCGCAGCUCCGCAUGCUAAAAGAAAAUCAAAACUGCGUGUCUGAAACAUCUCCAUCAUCCAUUUGGAAGUGAAGAAUUCUGCCUGCUCUCCUUCCAUCCUUGCAGGAAGCUACACCCAGCUCGCUGCUCAGUCUGGACUUGUUCUCAAGGUCACCUAUGUAAUUUUUUUCAAAGCCUCACUGUCCUUAGUAUUCUCAGAGAUAAUAGCACCGGGCCCAUCAGUCAUCAUUUCCUCAUCCUCAAUUUUCCUUUUCGCUUCCUGCAAUUUUAAUCCCAAGCCCCUGCAAUUCCUUUCCAUGGAGGCUUAAGUGGCCCCAUUUACAGCCAAUUUUCGGCUAAUAUUUGAUGCAUUCUUUUAAAAUAAACCAAAUAGUCCUCACUCUGCAGGCUUUGUACCGUUGGACUUAAUAAAAUCAAAGACUUGAUAGUGGGCUUUAAACUGAUGUGUUUUUUUUGUUUGUUUGUUUCAUGAUUUUUAAAGAAAAAUAGAGACCUUUAGAAAUAGGAGGUAGAUAUUUGUUCCUGAUGGGUCAAUUUCAGAAUCUGGGGCUGUCAUUAAUAAAGGGAAAGAAAUCGCUCUUUCAUCUGUGUUGCGCGUUGCACCAAUUCUUAUAGAGGAGAGAGAGGGGAGGGGAGAUGGGUAAAGAAACCAUAGAUUUUUCUGGGGGCUGUUUCCUUCUAACCUUCUUUGGGGAUGCCUUAUCUCUGGCCCCUUCUGUAAGCUGAUCCAGCUCAUGUCGGCCUGACACAUGAACCAUGCAAAGCUUCUUUUUAAAGAGAUUUUAAUUCCUGCUUGACAGGCUAGGCUGAAGCCCAUGAGUGACAAUAGAUGUUUUUUUUUUUUUUAAACAAGAGUGAAAGCCACAGUGCACCUGGUUUUCCAUAACACAAGACAUACUUUUUUUUUUCUAGAAAAGAAAAAAAAAAAAACCAGUUUAAAAAAAGCUAAAUCUUAAGUAAUAAGACAGCUGAGUUUGCUAGGCGUCAUGUCUUAAGAAAAGAGUGCCACCAUUUUUGGCCUGCCUGAAGGCUGUUUUUGUCCCUAAUCUGUUUUAAAUCUUUUAAGGGUUUUAUCAUUUUUUUCCGCCUUUCCAUAAAAUUAACUCAUUUCUUUAAUAUAUUUUUUAUCCUAGUCUGAAAUUUCAUCCUUAAUUAUCCCCCACGUGGAGAAGUAUCAAAGUAUCACGUAUCAUAAGAUAAAUGACGUUUUUGGACCCAAGAUAUUUGGGUAAACUGACCAUGUCCAAUGUCUUGAGGGGAAAAGCUAGAAACUGGGAUCAUCCUUAAGGAUUGCAUGAGUCCAAAUCUAGAAAAACAGUGAAAUGAUUUAGGAGUUGCCUGAAUGUCGUCUUUGCAGAUAUAAAAUGAGCUCCGUUUUAUUUAUGACCAUAGCAAAUUUCAAACAGCUUUCAUUUCCCCUGGUAUUAUGCAUUGCAAGCCGUGGUAAGGUCUGAAAGUAAUAAUGAAAGCUCUGAUAAUGGACUUAGUGCUGGCGGCGCCAUGACAAGGCUGGUGACGAGAGGGGAGCUGUCAUCUAUUAACUGAACACUGGGUGCCAGGCCUCCUCUUCAGGACUCUACGUACUUUUUUCUCUAAUUUGCAUAUCAGCUCUCAGAACUGGUUGUUGUCAUCUCUGUUUUACAGAUGACAAACAGGAGAAACUAGGACACCAAAAGUUGGAAUGACCUGCUUCAUAUGAUGCUCGUGUAAGCUUGGUGCCAGAGCUGGUACCAUGUUGCACAAAGUUGGUUUAAUCAGCUUUUUGACGGCACCUCCCUAUUUACAUCAAGGGAAGAAGAGCCACUUUAACUGUAUAGCACAGCCCCAUUUACAUAAUAUUUUCACAGCACUAUCUUGAGCCUUGCAGUAUACUUAUGAGGUAAAAUCAUCUGUUGGAGUUAUUCCAUUAUCCUCAUCCUGUGGAGAUCUUGAUUUGGAAAUUCUUGACAAAAUCUACAGUGUCUGACUUACUAUCAAUGUUACCAACUGAAGGAUCUGCAUUGACUGCUCCAGCAGUGGCUAACUUGAUGUCCUCUGCAAAUUUAAAAAGCGUGCCACCUUUUCCAUCAUCGGGUCAUCCCUGAGGUCAUCACGGAACAUCCUUCUCAACUGUCCAUGAUCCGUGGGUAGCUGUUCUCUGUUGUCCAUUUCACCAGAUGUCCUCAAAACUAACAGACAGAAAAGGGAAAUGGUUAAUGGUUGAGUGCCCCUGUUGGUCUAUCAUGGAGGGCGAGGAGAGCCUACAGGCGCAUGCGCCCACCUCUGUAACUUGCUGUUCCUUGUGUCAUAUCAAGUGGAAGUGCGAAGCACCACAAACUGCUUUGAGCAGAGCCCACUUCCCUUCACCCACAGAGAACGUGAAGCAGUUAUACCAACAUCAAUCAAGGAAAACCCACAGGCUGAACUCACACCGUUGAAGCAGGUGGGCUCAAAUGAUGAUAAACAACUAAACCAUUCAACAGGAAAGCGAACUUCUCUGUUCUCCCAGAAGCAUGUGUCUAAAUAUUAGCAAUGGGGAGUGAAGAAGAGGAAGGAAAAUCCUGCCCGUGCUGUCAAAGAGAAAUGUAAUGUGCACCUCAAAACCAAACCACAUCAAGAAGUUUAAAAUUUCUAGUAGCCACGUAAAAAAUGUACAGACAAACAAGUGAAGUGAGGAAAUUGAAGAUUUGUCCAAGAGCAGAAAGCUGAUGAGAGAGAGAAAGAAGAAAGAGACCAGCUUACAGCUCAAGUCCUCUUUCUAUGCUCUGGAAUCACCAUAAAUGCUACUCGCUUGGACCUCGUUUUGUUUCUUUCUGGAACUCUGUACUCUGUUUGCAAUGGUAUGGUUAGUUGUUAGGACCGCUUAUGUGUAUUUUUUUUUUAAUUUAGAGAAAUAUUGCUGCAAAGCUUUUCCAGGAUGUAUUUAAAAAGGAGGUAUCCUCUGGUUAUCUAGCAUUCAACUGAUUCUUUCAAUUUGGUUGGUUUAGUCAAAGUUUGAGUAGAAGAGUCUGUCUAGGUAAUGGUUUUUGAGGACACUUGGGCAAAACAAAAAAAAAUAGCCUAUGGAAAACUCAUUCUGAUCAUUUCAUACCUAGGAAAAAUGCAGAGAACAAUAAAAAUGAGUCAAUAUUUUAUAAAUUCAA